CCAGGAUGUCAGGUCAUAGCAGAAGUGCUCAUGGCAUGGCCCUAUCAGAUUCCAAUGAAUCUGCAAAUUCUGCU
ensembl:ribozyme